AUCUACAGCGUUUCUACAAGAAAACAUGGGUAGCAGUGGCAUCCUAAAAGAUUUCAAAGGAGAAAUGCCUUCUGUAAAAUCUUGUGCCAGGAGGAUAAGCACCAUAUACUUCCCUCAAAUUUCCUUCCUAUUGACCUUACAAGCAGACUGUUAUGAAUAUAUCUGUCACUGAAAAUCCCUACUGGCAAAUGGAAGGCUAAAAGAAAGCUAUGAAUCUAACUAUUCACAAUGGAGGACUUAUCAAGAUUUAUCCUUGCUUUGAGCAGCAGAGGAACUAAUGUGGUAUGCAACUGUAGAAACAAAGAAAAGAGGAAAACUGCAGAGAAUGUUACCACCAAACAAAUCUGGAACAAGUCCUGGGAAUC